UGGGGAAUCUUCCGCAAUGGGCGAAAGCCUGACGGAGCAAUGCCGCGUGAGUGAUGAAGGAAUUCGUUCCGUAAAGCUCUGUUGUCUAUGACGAAUGUGCUGGUUGUAAAUAAUGACUAGUAAUGACGGUAGUAGACGAGGAAGCCACGGCUAACUACGUGCCAGCAGCCGCGGUAAUACGUAGGUGGCGAGCGUUGUCCGGAAUUAUUGGGCGUAAAGAGCAUGUAGGCGGUUUUUUAAGUCUGGAGUGAAAAUGCGGGGCUCAACCCCGUAUGGCUCUGGAUACUGGAAGACUUGAGUGCAGGAGAGGAAAGGGGAAUUCCCAGUGUAGCGGUGAAAUGCGUAGAUAUUGGGAGGAACACCAGUGGCGAAGGCGCCUUUCUGGACUGUGUCUGACGCUGAGAUGCGAAAGCCAGGGUAGCGAACG
rnacentral:rRNA from 1 species